rnacentral:RNase_P_RNA from 1 species
AGUUGGUCGGUCUGUCGCUUGCGUCAAUGACGUAUGAGGAAAGUCCGGGCAACACAGGGCAUCCUACUUCCUAACAGAAAGCUGUCCGCGAGGGUAGAGUAACGUAGAAGAAAAUGACCGCCUGAUCUUCGGAAAAGGUAAGGGUGAGAAGGUGGGGUAAGAGCCCACCAGUCUUAUGGUGACAUAAGGGCUGUGCGUCUUAGGAGUUGUAAGGUCAUGUAUACCGGCGUUUGAGGGCUGCCCGCCCGAUGCCGGAGGGUAGACCGCUAAAGCCGUUCAUGGUAACAUGCGGUUCAGAUAAAUGACAGACACCUUAUCUUUAUCGGUAAGGAACAGAACCCGGCUUACAGACCGACUGCU